GGGUCAUGGCUCAGCGGUAGGGCACUCGCCUAGCAUGUGCGAGGCCCUGGGUUUGAUCCUCAGCACACA
rnacentral:tRNA from 1 species